rnacentral:rRNA from 1 species
GAUGAACGCUGGCGGCGUGCCUAACACAUGCAAGUCGAACGAAGCACCUUACCUGAUUCUUCGGAUGAAAGUUUGGUGACUGAGUGGCGGACGGGUGAGUAACGCGUGGGUAACCUGCCCUGUACAGGGGGAUAACAGCUGGAAACGGCUGCUAAUACCGCAUAAGCGCACGAGGAGACAUCUCCUUGUGUGAAAAACUCCGGUGGUACAGGAUGGGCCCGCGUCUGAUUAGCUGGUUGGCAGGGUAACGGCCUACCAAGGCAACGAUCAGUAGCCGGUCUGAGAGGAUGAACGGCCACAUUGGAACUGAGACACGGUCCAAACUCCUACGGGAGGCAGCAGCGGGGAAUAUUGCACAAUGGGGGAAACCCUGAUGCAGCAACGCCGCGUGAGUGAAGAAGUAUUUCGGUAUGUAAAGCUCUAUCAGCAGGGAAGAUAAUGACGGUACCUGACUAAGAAGCUCCGGCUAAAUACGUG